rnacentral:rRNA from 1 species
UACGUAGGGUGCGAGCGUUGUCCGGAAUUAUUGGGCGUAAAGGGCUCGUAGGCGGUCCAUCGCGUCGGGAGUGAAAAGCUGGGGCUUAACCCCAGUCCUGCUUUCGAUACGGGUGGACUAGAGGUAGGCAGGGGAGAAUGGAAUUCCUGGUGUAGCGGUGAAAUGUGUUGAUAUUGGAAGGAACACCGGAGGCGAAAGCGGUGUACUGGGGCUGGUCUGACGCUGAGGCACGAAAGCCAGGGGAGCGAACGGG